UAGGGAAUCUUCCACAAUGGACGAAAGUCUGAUGGAGCAACGCCGCGUGAGUGAAGAAGGUUUUCGGAUCGUAAAGCUCUGUUGUUGGUGAAGAAGGAUAGAGGCAGUAACUGGUCUUUAUUUGACGGUAAUCAACCAGAAAGUCACGGCUAACUACGUGCCAGCAGCCGCGGUAAUACGUAGGUGGCAAGCGUUGUCCGGAUUUAUUGGGCGUAAAGCGAGCGCAGGCGGAAUGAUAAGUCUGAUGUGAAAGCCCACGGCUCAACCGUGGAACUGCAUCGGAAACUGUCAUUCUUGAGUGCAGAAGAGGAGAGUGGAACUCCAUGUGUAGCGGUGGAAUGCGUAGAUAUAUGGAAGAACACCAGUGGCGAAGGCGGCUCUCUGGUCUGCAACUGACGCUGAGGCUCGAAAGCAUGGGUAGCGAACAGGAUUAGAUACCCUGGUAGUCCAUGCCGUAAACGAUGAGCGCUAGGUGUUGGGGACUUUCCGGUCCUCAGUGCCGCAGCAAACGCAUUA
rnacentral:rRNA from 1 species